rnacentral:rRNA from 2 species
AACAAGGUUUCCGUAGGUGAACCUGCGGAAGGAUCAUUC